CUCAUUUCGAGGUUGUGAGCAAGAGACCCAGUUUGGUUUAGUGUUUAGCAAAUUAUCUUCACCCUUUUGCCACUAAAUCACUGUACAAGCACAAGCAAACCACUCAGCUCUUCCUCUCCUUCCCCUUAUUCAAAUGUACCCAGACCAUGACUUGUGAGAUGACUGUGAGGAGUGAAGAUCAGCCCAUGAACAUGGACAGAAAAUUCUCCAACCAAGGUCACAGCAUGAAUUGACCUGGGCUGCCUUUCAGCAUGCUUGAGACCGGGGAGUGUGACAACCCAGUCUGCCCAGUGAUGGAAAGUUAGAAACUGGAAAUGUACCUGGAUGCCACCCUGAGUCAGCCCAAACCGAAGCAUCUCUACAAAACACCUAGAUGUGAACAAACUGCCGUCCUCUGACAAAAAUAUUCCGUCUGAGAAUUUCUGACCAGCUGCGGCGGUAAACACCUCCAGGGUGUCCUUUUUGUCUGAUACAGGGCAAAAAUUAUUCGGGUGC
rnacentral:lncRNA from 1 species